GGGGAAUAUUGCGCAAUGGAGGGAACCCUGACGCAGCAACGCCGCGUGAGUGAAGAAGGCCUUCGGGUCGUAAAGCUCUGUCGAGAGGGAAGAAGUCUCUAGGGAGAAUAUCUUUAGAGGUGACGGUACCUUUUAAGGAAGCCCCGGCUAACUACGUGCCAGCAGCCGCGGUAAAACGUAGGGGGCGAGCGUUGUCCGGAAUUACUGGGCGUAAAGGGCGUGUAGGCGGCUAGGUAAGUCAGGUGUGAAAACUUUUGGCUCAACCAGGAGACUGCACUUGAAACUGCGUAGCUUGAGGGUAGGAGAGGAAAGUGGAAUUCCUAGUGUAGCGGUGAAAUGCGUAGAUAUUAGGAGGAACACCAGUGGCGAAGGCGACUUUCUGGCCUAACCCUGACGCUGAGGCGCGAAAGCGUGGGGAGCAAACA
rnacentral:rRNA from 2 species